GACGAACGCUGGCGGCGUGCCUAAUACAUGCAAGUAGAACGCUGAAGGAGGAGCUUGCUUCUCUGGAUGAGUUGCGAACGGGUGAGUAACGCGUAGGUAACCUGCCUGGUAGCGGGGGAUAACUAUUGGAAACGAUAGCUAAUACCGCAUAAUAGUAGAUGUUGCAUGACAUUUGCUUAAAAGGUGCACUUGCAUCACUACCAGAUGGACCUGCGUUGUAUUAGCUAGUUGGUGGGGUAACGGCUCACCAAGGCGACGAUACAUAGCCGACCUGAGAGGGUGAUCGGCCACACUGGGACUGAGACACGGCACAGACUCCUACGGGAGGCAGCAGUAGGGAAUCUUCGGCAAUGGACGGUAGUCUGACCGAGCAACGCCGCGUGAGUGAAGAAGGUUUUCGGAUCGUAAAGCUCUGUUGUAAGAGAAGAACGAGUGUGAGAGUGGAAAGUUCACACUGUGACGGUAUCUUACCAGAAAGGGACGGCUAACUACGUG
rnacentral:rRNA from 1 species